AGUGAACGCUGGCGGUAGGCCUAACACAUGCAAGUCGAACGGCAGCACAGUAAGAGCUUGCUCUUACGGGUGGCGAGUGGCGGACGGGUGAGGAAUACAUCGGAAUCUACUUUUUCGUGGGGGAUAACGUAGGGAAACUUACGCUAAUACCGCAUACGACCUACGGGUGAAAGCAGGGGAUCUUCGGACCUUGCGCGAUUGAAUGAGCCGAUGUCGGAUUAGCUAGUUGGCGGGGUAAAGGCCCACCAAGGCGACGAUCCGUAGCUGGUCUGAGAGGAUGAUCAGCCACACUGGAACUGGGACACGGUCCAGACUCCUGAGGGAGGCAGCAGUGGGGAAUAUUGGACAGAAGGCGCGAGCCUGAUCCAGCCAUACCGCGUGGGUGAAGAAGGCCUUCGGGUUGUAAAGCCCUUUUGUUGGGAAAGAAAAGCAGCAGGUUAAUACCCCGCUGUUCUGACGGUACCCAAAGAAUAAGCACCGGCUAACUUCGUG
rnacentral:rRNA from 1 species